rnacentral:rRNA from 1 species
UACGUAGGGGGCAAGCGUUGUCCGGAAUUAUUGGGCGUAAAGAGCUCGUAGGCGGCUUAGUAAGUCGGGUGUGAAACCUCCAGGCUCAACCUGGAGACGCCACCCGAUACUGCUGUGGCUAGAGUCCGGUAGGGGAGCGUGGAAUUCCUGGUGUAGCGGUGAAAUGCGCAGAUAUCUGGAGGAAUACCGGUGGCGAAGGCGGCAUCCUGGACCGGCAUUGACGCUGAGGAGCGAAAGCCAGGGGAGCAAACGGG